UACGGAGGGGGCUAGCGUUGUUCGGAAUUACUGGGCGUAAAGCGCACGUAGGCGGACUGUUAAGUCGGGGGUGAAAGCCCAGGGCUCAACCCUGGAAUGGCCUUCGAUACUGGCAGUCUUGAGAAUGGGAGAGGUGAGUGGAAUUCCUAGUGUAGAGGUGAAAUUCGUAGAUAUUAGGAAGAACACCAGUGGCGAAGGCGGCUCACUGGCCCAUUUCUGACGCUGAGGUGCGAAAGCGUGGGGAGCAAACAGG
rnacentral:rRNA from 1 species